GCCUGCAUGAAGUCGGAAUUGCUAGUAAUCGCAGAUCAGCAUGCUGCGGUGAAUACGUUCCCGGGCCUUGUACACACCGCCCGUCACACCAUGGGAGUCGGUAACACCCGAAGUCGGUAGCCUAACCGUAAGGAGGGCGCCGCCGAAGGUGGGAUUGAUGACUGGGGUGAAGUCGUAACAAGGUACC
rnacentral:rRNA from 1 species